rnacentral:sRNA from 1 species
GCAUCACCGCGCCUCGAAACACUGUCAUGUUACUACUGAAUCCUUCUCAAGAUCUUUCAGACAAAGCAGCAACACCGUGUGACUUCCAUCAGCCUAUUCGAGUCCAUUUGUCUGUACUCGAAAUCGAAGCCGCUAAAAGAUUCUCGAGGCCAGACGAAAGAAAAGAACUCAACACAUGUUGCACACGAGGUUAGCCAAUCAGUCACGACUCACUAGCCAAGGCGCAAUCGCUUAUUUUUCAUUGGAGCUUAGGUAGGGGUUCGGAGGGGCCAGACACGCCGUAAGCAUGGGCAGGUUUGGUGGUGGAGGUUGGUUGUGGUUGUGCUGCUGCUGGCAAAACAAAACCCGUACGUGCAAGGAGAAAUCAGGAUGAACAAAUAAAUAAAAUAAACAAAUAAACAAAAUGCA